rnacentral:misc_RNA from 1 species
UCCGGUUUGUCACCGGCAGUCUCGCUAAAGUGCCCAACUCAAUGAUGGCAAUUAGCGACAAGGGUUGCGCUCGUUGCGGGACUUAACCCAACAUCUCACGACACGAGCUGACGACAGCCAUGCAGCACCUGUGUCCCGGCUCCCUUUCGGGCACCCCCGGCUCUCACCAGGGUUACGGGCAUGUCAAGGGUAGGUAAGGUUUUUCGCGUUGCAUCGAAUUAAUCCACAUCAUCCACCGCUUGUGCGGGUCCCCGUCAAUUCCUUUGAGUUUUAACCUUGCGGCCGUACUCCCCAGGCGGUCAACUUCACGCGUUAGCUGCGGUACUAAGGAAGUCACCUUCCCCAACACCUAGUUGACAUCGUUUAGGGCGUGGACUAC